rnacentral:rRNA from 1 species
GAUAAACGCUAGCGGCAGGCUUAACACAUGCAAGUCGAGGGGCAGCAUAGAUUGUAGCAAUACAAUUGGUGGCGACCGGCGCACGGGUGCGUAACGCGUAUGCAACCUACCCGUCACAGGGGGAUAAUCCGGAGAAAUCUGGUCUAAUACCCCCUAACAUAUGGAUCGGCAUCGGUUCAUGUUGAAAUUUUCGGAGGUGACGGAUGGGCAUGAGUAGCAUUAGCUUGUUGGUGAGGUAACGGCUGACCAAGGGGAUGAUGGUUAGGUGGACUGAGAGGUUUGCCCCCCACACUGGUACUGAGACACGGACCAAACUCCUACGAGAGGCAGCAGUGAGGUAUAUUGGUCAAUGGGCGCGAGCCUGAACCAACCAUGCCGCGUGCAGGAUGACGGCUCUAUGAGUUGUAAACUGCUUUUGUACGAGGGUAAAGUGGGUUACGUGUAACCUUUUGAAAGUAUCGUACGAAUAAGGAUCGGCUAACUCCGUGCCAGCCGCCGCGGUAA